UAGCUCAACCUUAACCUCAUAAUUACAUUAAACAAAACAAUAGGCUUAAGAGCUAUUCAAAUAAGGCACAGCUUAUUUGAAUCAGGAUACAACCUCUAACAUCGGGUUAAUUUAGGUCCAUAAAACUAAGUAGGCCUAAAAGCAGCCACCUAAAAGAAAGCGUUAUAGCUCAAUUUCCUUGAACCUAAAUCCAUUAAACUACUAUCAACCCCUCCCUACUACUGAACUAUUUUAUAUGUUAUAAAAAUAAUAAUGCUAGAACUAGUAACAAGAAUCCGCCCUUCUCCUAAAUGUGAAUUAAAGCCAAAAUGGACACUCCAUUGGCAAUUACCGCAAAUGCACUAACCAUAGUACCUCAUGCAAGAAAACCCUAUUACCCUCAGCGUUAACCUAACACCAGAACAUUACAGGAAAGAUUAACAGAGAAAGAAGGAACUCGGCAAAUUUCAGUCCCGCCUGUUUACCAAAAACAUCGCCUCUUGUUUAGAUAUAAGAGGUCCAGCCUGCCCAGUGACAUAGUUCAACGGCCGCGGUAUCCUAACCGUGCGAAGGUAGCAUAAUCACUUGUUCUUUAAAUAAGGACUAGUAUCAACGGCACCACGAGGACUGUACUGUCUCCUUUCUCCAAUCAGUGAAACUGAUCUCCCCGUGAAGAAGCGGGGAUAAAUAUAUAAGACGAGAAGACCCCAUGGAGCUUAAAACCUCACACAUCUCUAUGUUAUUAAAUCACUUAAACAAGGGGGGUUGUGGCUGGGUUUUAGGUUGGGGAGACCACGGAGUAAAAUUAAACCUCCAUGACAAACGGGCCAACGCCCUCACCCAUGAAUUACAAUUCUAAGUAUUAACAAACUAAUGUUGAUGAUCCGGUUAGCCGAUCAACGAACCAAGUUACCCUGGGGAUAACAGCGCCAUCUGCUUCAAGAGCCCCUAUCGACAAGCAGGUUUACGACCUCGAUGUUGGAUCAGGGUAUCCUAGUGGUGUAGCCGCUACUAAAGGUUCGUUUGUUCAACGAUUAAAACCCUACG
rnacentral:rRNA from 1 species